CAGCAGCCGCGGGAAAACGGAGGGGGCUAGCGUUGUUCGGAAUUACUGGGCGUAAAGCGCACGUAGGCGGCUUGGUAAGUUAGAGGUGAAAGCCCAGGGCUCAACCCUGGAAUUGCCUUUAAGACUGCCGAGCUAGUAGGUGAGAGAGGUAAGUGGAAUUCCGAGUGUAGAGGUGAAAUUCGUAGAUAUUCGGAAGAACACCAGUGGCGAAGGCGGCUUACUGGCUCAUUCUAGACGCUGAGGUGCGAAAGCGUGGGGAGCAAACAGGAUUAGAUACCCGCGUAGUCCCUGUCUCUUAUAC
rnacentral:rRNA from 1 species